AUGCCUGUAGGAUUUCCCACGAUGACCAUGGAAACUGUGGCCACGCAGACAGCAUUGGAAAAUAGUGAUAGCAGUGAUAACAAGACUGAUGAAACAAGACCAGGAAGGACAGCUCUUUUCUUGAGAAACCAAGGACUGGGUGAAAAGGAACAGAAGAAGCCUCCUGGAGCUCAGGAUCCAGGAACCUUUGAGGAUAUCAGUACUCCCAGAGUAAAUAUGUCCACUCACCCAGGACAAAGUAGGCCAACAUCUAAAGUCAAGGAAAAUCGCUUCUUUAGACCUGGCAGCAGACCAGAUGCAAUGCGACGACCAAAUGGUGGGAUGAUCCCAUUCAAUCGCACAAAUAUAGUCAAAGGAGGGGGAAGAAUAGGUCCCUAUCCUUUGAAAAAGCCAACAGGACGGAAUCCAUUUCAGGGGAUAAGAGCAAAGAAACCAAGUGUAGAGCCUGGACUAAAGCGCCCCACUUCCAAAUACAGCAAAAUACCAAUGGCUGGGAAUGACACCAGUCAGUAUUCUCUCUUACAGUACCAGCCAAUCAUCAGCAGUGCCAAAAAAGUUGUAGAUUCAGCGAGGGUUCCAGAGCCUUUUCAGAAUGUCACUGACUCAAGUGAACAGCUGCUGGAACCAACAAUUACAACUGAAAGGAACCUCACGGCCCAUAUCAACGGGACAAAAUGUGUAAGAAAAGUCUUGGUAGGGCACAAGAAGAUACACUUUAAUGGAACAUCAAAUGGAAAAGGGAUAAAAAAUAUGACAGUCAUAGUUGGUCACAUCAAUGGAAAUGACAUCUUACAUAAAAUAAUCACAAGCAGGUCUGAGGGCUUUGCCAAUGAUGUUAUACCAUCAGCUGAAAAUGGAGCUAAGCUUCAAGGCGAAAGUGAACGAAAGCCAAUUACGGAUGUACAAAGACCAGAAAAGACAGACGUCCCAGGUGAAGUUUUGGAGGAAACUGGUGCAACAAGUGUAACUUUACAGUCAAAAAGCUAUAGACCAGUAACAUUUUCAGAGAACCUUAUGAGGUUAAGCACAGAAGAAGCAGAGGUUGGGAUAAUACCUCCACUCAGCUCUACAUAUUCCACAGCACAACCCUCACUUCCUCAGACUAUUGCUACUCCCCAGCCUGUUCUGUUGCCAUCUAAAACACAAACCAGACGCUCAAAUAAAACUCAGUUAUUAAUAGACAAACACCCUAUUAGAAGCUCCAUCAAGAUGCCUCCAUCAUCCAGAAGAUUUCCAACUAGACCAAAAACAUCUGGCUUGACCUCAGGAACAAAAAGUGGACCAAUUUCUUCUGAAACUCCUUCUAAGAUAUUUAAAGAAAGACAUUCAGUUAGAAACAGUCACUAUGCUCCAUCGUCUCAACAAUUACCACUGGAACAAGAAACCUCAGAAAGAGCAGCAAUAGCCUCCAGAGAAACUGAGCCUGAUGGACAAGGUUUGCUAGCUGAAUCUCUCCAAGGACACAUCUCUGCUUCUUCAUUAACCAAAUUACCAGUGACACAGAGCAGCAAAGGCACAAGAAGUGAAGGAGGCAUAUUUAACUCUGAGCAGAAAAAGGCAAAAAAUGGAACUAUACCACCAUUUCCACGAACACCACUAAGAGGUACACCCUCCCGCAAAACAAACAUUGGUCCAUUCCAAAACCGGACUAGGCCGAUUCUGAAGCCUCUUCGGCACACUUUCAGGAGUCUACUACCAGGAUCAACUCUGCCGAGAGUCCCAAACAGAGACAUCACUGUUAGUAGGCAACCUAUGCCUACUAACCAAGCAGAACGUAAAAUCAAGAGCAUCAGUCAUAAUGGCUUGAGUCCGAAACGUACACUACCAUUCACAUAUAAAAAUGGUCAAGUCAGCAGAUUUCCACCAAACCUUCACAGAAAAAUAAAGUCAAAUACCAGCAUUAUUCAUAAUGGCCCACAUGACAGUAAGCAUGAAACAAGAGACAAUGUUCGUUUCUCAUCACAAGAUGCAAGCCUAGAACCUCAAACUAAUCUUCCAGCAGACAAAGGUGCAAGCCAAGAACGUCAAACUGAUCUCCCAGUAGACAAAGAUGCAAGCCAAGAACCUCAAACUGAUCUCCCAGUAGACAAAGAUGCAAGCAAAGAAGCUAAAACUGAUCUCUCAGCAGACAAAGUCACUCUUACAACAGACAAGCCUGCAACUAAUGAUCCACUUCAAAAUGUUGCUAGAGAUUUACAAGAUAAAACUGAAGACAUCCUGCCUAAAAUCACAAACAUCACAGAUAAGCAAAAAACUUCUAAUGACCAAGUAAAACCUGCAACCAUUAGCAGCCGGCAAUACGGCUCAAAUGUUAACUUUAGACAAACUGUUGGAGUUGAAAAUAAAAGAGGACCUGUCUUUAGACGCCCACCAAAACAAACAGUAAUCAAGCCAAAGACUUCAAUUAUUCAUGGUGUCCCAAAAGAGAAUAAAGACUCCAAAACUGAGAAAGGCUCCAAAGCUGAUCUUUUAAUGGACAAAGAUACAAGAAAAGACUCUGAAAUUGGUCCCUCAACAGACAAACAUACAAGCAAAGAAUCUAAAAUUGGUGUCCCAGUAGACAAAGAAAAUAAAUAUUCCAAAGUUACUCAACACAUGACAGAAAUGCCUGCAGUCAGAACUAAGGAUACAUUUCAAGGUGUUGCCAGAUAUUCAGAGGAUAGAAUUGAUCAUGUCCUGCCUACAGUUACAAAACAAAACAUCAGAGCUACACAAAUGGUUCCUCAUGACCAAGUGAAACCUGAAACCAUCACCAGCAGCAAAAAUGGUUCAAAUCUCAACCUUAGACCAACAUCCACAGUUAGAGGGAAAAACAUCAGACUUCAACCAAAACAUACUCAACUGAAGCCAAAGGCUAUAAUUAUUCACGGUGAAUCAAAAGGCAGUAAAGGAUUGAAUGUUGAAAAAGGUUUCAAAGCUGGUCUUUUAGUGGACAGUAAUGCUAGAAAAGACCCUAAACUUGGUCUUUCACAAGACAAAGAUACCAGGGAAGAAUCCAAAGAUAUAAAGAACAAAGAAUCUGAGGUUGCUCUUCCAACAGACAAGACACCAGGCAAAUUUAAAGGAACCUUCUUAUUUUCUGAGGGUUCAGAUGAUGGCAUUGAUCAUGUUGGACUUCAGAAUUUAACAUCAAAAGGAUUUAUCAUAAUCUGGGGAGCACCAAAGGGACUGUUUCAAAACUUCAUAAUAAGUGUGAGCGAGCAUGGAAGAGGAACAGCAGGGCAGGCUGAGCAGGAAAAUAAGGAGGAACAGGACCACAAACAGGACGAGAGUGAUGAAGAGAAAGAAGUGGGUGAUGAUAGGAGCCAGGAAGAGGGAGAUGAGAGGAAAGAUGAAAAAAAGGGCAGCAUGAACAAAGAAAGAACAAACGUGCUUGCUGGUGGACCUGAUUCCUACACCGUGAGAAGGAACAGCAGUGAUGGUGGAGUUGUAAUGAAAUUCACCAAGGUGCUCCCUGGUUCUGCUCGCUCAUACCCAGUCACAGACCUUACCCCACAGACUGGCUACUCGGUGUCCCUUUAUGGAAAGGGUCCUGGAUUACGUUCCAAUAUUCACAACUUCAUCAUCAGUACAGGUAUUCUGAACGGGAAAUUAAAUACCUAA
ensembl:lncRNA